rnacentral:lncRNA from 1 species
AAAAUGGUAGAUGGGGCAAUUUGGUAAAACUGGCGGAAAUCAUUAAAAAUUAAAAUUUGUUUUAAAUAAAAUGAAAAAAAAAUUAAGUAUAUAAUAAGAAAAAAGAAUAAGUUUUCUUUAAAAUUCUUAUUUUUUUCAAUUAUAAUGAAAAUUAAUGACUUCAUGAAAGGAAAACAAAAUAGAGAUUUUUAUAUCAAGAUUGAACUUGGAAUCAAGUACAUUUUUACUGACUCCAACUCCAUAAUGCUGUAUUUCUGGUGCCUAUCAUGGGUAUUCAUACCCCUGAUGAGAAUGAUCUAAGAUACCAAUGGAACUAUGCUAUGUAUUCAGUUGUACCAAUUGGAUUCAUGGUAUUUAUUCAGUUGCAUCUCUCAAAUCUGAAGUUUGCAAAAUGUGUUCAGCUAACCAAGUCUAGACUCCUCCUGAAAAAUGUAGAAAUGAAGAACCUAGAAUUGAACUCAGAUUCUCCAAUAUUAUGAUUGCUUUACCACAUGACUCAUUUUAAAGGUUGUGAAUUGAUAGUGAACCCAGAUUUUUCUAAAUGCUUGUGUAGAUAUAGGACUGGAAUUGAGCUUGAAUACUCCAGAUAAUAAAUGCCAGCAUGCAUGAAUAAAAUUUUUUAUAUUAUUUCCAUGCUAGCCACUGGCUCAUUAGGCACUCUAAGUAAACUAUGUCAUUUAAAUAUUUU